UGCUAAGCCUGGAGACCUAAGUUUGAUCC
rnacentral:piRNA from 1 species